rnacentral:rRNA from 1 species
UACGUAGGGGGCAAGCGUUGUCCGGAAUCAUUGGGCGUAAAGAGCGUGUAGGCGGUCCGGUAAGUCGGCUGUGAAAGUCCAGGGCUCAACCCUGGGAUGCCGGUCGAUACUGCCGGACUAGAGUUCGGAAGAGGCGAGUGGAAUUCCCGGUGUAGCGGUGAAAUGCGUAGAUAUGUCACAGAACACCGAUCGCGAAGGCAGCUAACCGAAGCUAUCACUGACACUGAUGCACGAAAGCGUGGGGAGCAAACAGG